UCAAGGCAGCGUGACUACUGUAGACCCAGCAGCUGGCUGCACAAGAAGAAAAGGUGGAGAGUUAGUCUGAAUCAGACAGGCUUGCCAAGAAGGCAGAACAUUUACAUUCACAGAACUGAGAACGCUGAGAAGCCGUGGGUGAAGCGAUGCACCACUGGGAGGAAAGGUCAUUUAUAUUUGAAGCUUCAGAUCUUCGGUCAAAACAAUCAAAGAAUUUGAAGUUAUUCAUAAAUUGAUAAUUCAAUUUAUGAACCAGUCUCUUUGUCUUCCUUUACUUUUCUACUUGAAUUUUGGUUAUUUUCAUUGCAUAUUUACUUCUCCACUAAGACGCCUGAAAGAAGAGGAAUAAAGGCUGAAUUCAAUCUGAUUUAGUCUGUCACUUGUUGCCUUGGCUGAAUGACUGUUUGAGGUGGAGAUAGAAGAGAAUGAGUUCAUCUGUGGAGGUCUCUUAUCUACCAUUAGCUGUCUACUAUGAAGAUAAAUAGGGUUAAUGAUAUUAUUCAUAAUCUUUUAUGUUGAUUCAUAAAAUCUUCCUC
rnacentral:lncRNA from 1 species